UAGUAGUAAGAAAUCCAGCAGCGGACAAAAAAAAAAAAAAAAAAAAAACGCAAAAAUGGCGUUGAUGAAGGGAGAGCCUUUGGUGGCAAAGCUGGCAGCUUUAGCCAAGUACGUGGUGCUGCCGGGCUUCAUGGUUGCUGCUCUUAUUUACUCUCCUCCCAACUACGCUUCUUCCAAGAAGGACAAAUCCCCCAAUUAAAAUUCUCUUUCCCUUUUUCUACUGGAGUAUCUUUAUUAUGGCUAAGGUUUUUCAUGCUAUGUGCCUCUUUCCUAUAAUGGGGAUCUCCAAGAUUUCAGCAUAAUGUUUCUAGGUAUAUAGAGAGUUGACUGCAGUUUGUUUGCCUUUGAAGAACUUUUGAGUUUUGAAUCUCUUGUUUUUCUGAGACUUUAUUAAAAAAUAUGACAUUAUGUAAUAAAUACAAGAUUGCCCCGUGAAUUACAUUAUUGAAUAAUUUGGAUUGUAAUGUUGUUAAAUGAUCAUCAAUGCUCUCUAUGUUAUCUAAUCAAGCUUGCCUUAGAUUGUUGA